rnacentral:snRNA from 1 species
GGAUGCGACGGUGAUCUGGCUGCAACAUCUGUCACCCCGUGGGUCACCAGGGUUGAUUUGGCUGAUCUGGCUGGUGAGGGGGGUGUCCCCCUCCCUCUCCACUCCAUGUGCGUCCCUCCCAAAACUGCACGCUUGGUCGAAGGGAAUGACUUUCCCCGAGAGAGACGCACCAUUCAUCAGUCAAGGUACAGGGAAGCUCUGCUCCCCUGCGAGAACCUCCAAACAAUUGAUACUUAAAAACUGUUUGGAAUAACAGAGGCAAAGUCCCCUCUCAAAAAAAAAAUUAAAAUCUGACUUGGUGUACAGUAAGAUUU